UACGUAGGGUGCAAGCGUUAAUCGGAAUUACUGGGCGUAAAGCGUGCGCAGGCGGUUUUGUAAGUCUGUCGUGAAAAUCCCCCGGGCUCAACCUGGGAAUUGCGAUGGAGACUGCAAGGCUAGAAUCUGGCAGAGGGGGGUAGAAUUCCACGUGUGAGCAGUGGAAAUGCGUAGAGAUGUGGAGGAACACCGAUGGCGAAGGCAGCCCCCUGGGUCAAGAUUGACGCUCAUGCACGAAAGCGUGGGGAGCAAACGAAGGAUACGAGGUACCCGGUAAGCA
rnacentral:rRNA from 1 species